rnacentral:misc_RNA from 1 species
GAUGAAGAACGCAGCGAAAUGCGAUACGUAGUGUGAAUUGCAGAAUUCAGUGAAUCAUCGAAUCUUUGAACGCACAUUGCACCUCUCGGUAUUCCGGGAGGUAUGCCUGUUCGAGCGUCAUUUGUACCCUCAAGCUCUGCUUGGUGUUGGGUGUUUGUUCCGCCUCUGUGUGUGAACUCGCCUCAAAACAAUUGGCAGCCGGCGUACUUGUUUCGGAGCGCAGCACAUUUUGCGAUCCAGAUCAACGUACAGCGGCAUCCAAGAAGCCUUAUUUAACGCUCUUGACCUCGGAUCAGGUAGGGAUACCCGCUGAACUUAAGCAUAUCAAGCGGAGGA